rnacentral:rRNA from 1 species
CCCAGACUCCUACGGGAGGCAGCAGUGAGGAAUAUUGGUCAAUGGGCGCGAGCCUGAACCAGCCAAGUCGCGUGAGGGAUGACGGUCCUACGGAUUGUAAACCUCUUUUGCCGGGGAGCAAGCGUGCGUUCGUGAACGCGCGUCGAGAGUACCCGGAGAAAAAGCAUCGGCUAACUCCGUGCCAGCAGCCGCGGUAAUACGGAGGAUGCGAGCGUUAUCCGGAUUUAUUGGGUUUAAAGGGUGCGCAGGCGGCGAGUUAAGUCAGCGGUAAAAUUGCGGGGCUCAACCCCGACAAGCCGUUGAAACUGGCUUGCUAGAGUGGGCGAGAAGUACGCGGAAUGCGUGGUGUAGCGGUGAAAUGCAUAGAUAUCACGCAGAACUCCGAUUGCGAAGGCAGCGUACCGGCGCCCAACUGACGCUGAAGCACGAAGGCGUGGGUAUCGAACAGGAUUAGAUACCCCAGUACU